GAGAGAGAGAGAGAGAGAGAGAGAGAGAGAGAGAGAGCAGGGAGGGGAAGGAAGCAAAGACUCAGUCACCAGAUGUGCAGUAACUGCCUGGCUAGCUGAGUGGGUUACUCCCCUGUUCCUCUCCCUCCCCUCUUGCAUGAGUCAUUUUGUGACAAGCUUCUGUUUUCACACUUCAGUUGGACAGAUGCUACCAAGCAAAGAGGACAUACUUACAAAAGGAGAAAUACUGGCACACAUUAAGUACGAUGCAUGUGCCCACCUGCCAAGGAAGACAAGAUAUGCACCACCAUGCCAAAAUGCAGAGUGGCCACAGUGUCUGGGGAGGGGCCCUGCAGCCAAUGCUCCAAAGCCAGGUGUAGCAAUGACUCAGGACUGGCUCCACUUUUCUCCACUACUUGAUGGAACUUCCUGAUGCUCUCUCUGUGCCACUGCCAUCCAUAGAGCAAUUCACCUACACCACAUUACAUCAGAAUGGAAGCAUUAUAUGUGUGAAAGGGAAGUCAAUGUAUACAAGCAAUGAAGAGCAAAUAAAAAUUUAGUUUAAAAUUA